rnacentral:rRNA from 1 species
AUUGAACGCUGGCGGCAUGCCUUACACAUGCAAGUCGAACGGCAGCACGGGUGCUUGCACCUGGUGGCGAGUGGCGAACGGGUGAGUAAUACAUCGGAACAUGUCCUGUAGUGGGGGAUAGCCCGGCGAAAGCCGGAUUAAUACCGCAUACGAUCUACGGAUGAAAGCGGGGGCCCUUCGGGCCUCGCGCUAUAGGGUUGGCCGAUGGCUGAUUAGCUAGUUGGUGGGGUAAAGGCCUACCAAGGCGACGAUCAGUAGCUGGUCUGAGAGGACGACCAGCCACACUGGGACUGAGACACGGCCCAGACUCCUACGGGAGGCAGCAGUGGGGAAUUUUGGACAAUAGGCGAAAGCCUGAUCCAGCAAUGCCGCGUGUGUGAAGAAGGCCUUCGGGUUGUAAAGCACUUUUGUCCGGAAAGAAAUCCUUGGCCCUAAUACGGUCGGGGGAUGACGGUACCGGAAGAAUAAGCACCGGCUAACUACGUG